GAUGAACGCUGGCGGCGUGCCUAAUACAUGCAAGUCGAACGCUUCACUUCGGUGAAGAGUGGCGCACGGGUGAGCGAUCCAUAAGUAACCAGGCAUCUACCGGGGGCUAACUGAUGGAAACGUCAGCUAAGACCGCAUAGGAGUAGAGAUCGCAUGAACUCCAGCUGAAAAGUGCUACGGGACUGGUAGAUGAUGGGCUUCUGGCGCAUUGGCUUGUUGGUAGGGUAACGGCCUACGAAGGCGACGAUGCGUAGCCGACCUGAGAGGGUGAGCGGCCACACUGGGAGUGAGACACGCCCCAGGGUCCUACGGUAGGCAGCAGUAGGGUAUGUGCGGCAGUGGGGGGAACCCUGACCGAGCGACGCCGCGUGAGGUAAGAAGUAGUUCGUUGUGUGAUCUUCGGUCAUAGAUGAAGAACGGUGUAUAUAGGUAAUGAUAUCCGAGUGACGGUACUCGAUAAGAAAGCACCGGCUAACUACGUG
rnacentral:rRNA from 1 species